GACGGAGGGUGCUAGCGUUGUUCGGAAUGACUGGGCGUAAAGGGCGCGUAGGCGGCCGCUUGCGUCGGAUGUGAAAGCCCGGGGCUCAACCCCGGAACGGCAUCCGAUACGGGGCGGCUCGAGACCGAGAGAGGUGAGUGGAAUACCCAGUGUAGAGGUGAAAUUCGUAGAUAUUGGGUGGAACACCGGUGGCGAAGGCGGCCCACUGGAUCGGUACUGACGCUGAGGUGCGAAAGCGUGGGGAGCAAACAGG
rnacentral:rRNA from 1 species